AGAUGGUAGUGUAGUGGACUACCAUGGUGGUUACGGGUGACGGAGAAUUGGGGUUCGAUUCCGGAGAGGGAGCCUGAGAGAUGGCUACCACUUCCAAGGAAGGCAGCAGGCGCGAAAAUUGCCAAACCUACAAAGUAGGAGGCAGUGACAAUAAAUAUCGGAGGGUCAAUUGAUCCGACUGGAAUGAGAUGGAUGUAAAUAAAUCUACGAGAAACAAUUGGAGGACAAGUCUGGUGCCAGCACCCGCGGUAAUUCCAGCUCCAAGAGCGUAUAUUCAAUUUGCUGCAGUUAAAAAGCUCGUAGUUGGGUGAGGGGAUGGAGUGUAGUUAGGUGAGGGGGAGACUUCUUACUGAGCUUAUCUGUCUCAAUAUGAAGGGAACUGUGGGUGGGUGUCCUUAACUGGAUGCUUAUCAUACACCCUUCCGUUGACCGUGCUUAAAUUCGCGUGUUCAAAGCAAGCUAUUUUUAUGCUUGUAGAGUCUAGCAUGGGAUCAUCUAAUAUGGAUGAGUGAAAUUUCUUUCAAUUUCACUCUCAAUGACAAAUAGGGGCAAGCGGGGGUGGAGGGACUCCGUUGUUAGAGGUGAAAUUCUUAGACCAACGGAAGACCAACAGAAGCCAAAGCGUCCAUCAAGGGUGUGCCCAUUGAUCAAGAACGAAAGUUAGGGGAUCAAAUACGAUCAGACACCGUAGUAGUCCUAACCUUAAACGAUACCGACCGGGGAUGGGAUGAGACUAAGAAAACAUAUCCAUUCUGUACCCUACGAGAAAUCAAGAGUGUUUGGGUUCCGGGGGGAGUACGGUCGCAAGGCUGAAACUUAAAGGAAUUGACGGAAAGGCAAACAAGAAGUGGAACCUGCGGCUUCCAAUUCGACCCAACACGGGAAAACUUACCAGGUCCAGACAUGGGAAGGAUGGACAGAUUGAUAGAUCUUUCUUGAUUCUAUGAGUGGUGGUGCAUGGCCGUUCUUAGUUGGUGGAGUGAUUUGUCUGGUUGAUUCCGAUAACGAACGAGAUCACGAGAGAUUUGUUGAGGGGGGAUAGGAGGAUGAGAUAAAGGUGAAGGGUGAGAAGACCAGCUUUCGGGUUGGCCAGCUCGCAUGAAUCCUUUGUUCUUCUGUCCACUCACCAACUCCGACCGGAGAGUAUCAACUCUCAGGAAGGUCGUGGCAAUAACAGGUCUGUGAUGCCCUUAGAUGUUCUGGGCUGCACGCGCGUUACACUGACAGAGACAAAGAGUAAAUAAAAUUGCUUGACUGAUAAGUCUGGCUAAUCUAAAAGAGACUCUGUCGUGAUGGGGAUAGAUGGUUGUAAUUAUGCAUCUUGAACGAGGAAUUCCUAGUAAACGUAGUUUAUCAAACUACGUUGAUUACGUCCCUGCCCUUCGUACACACCGCCCGUCGCUCCUACCGAUUGAAUGAAAAGGUGAAAAGAAGGGA
rnacentral:rRNA from 1 species